CCACCCAGCAACGACAGGCCAUUGUUCUCCUCCCUGCUGGAUUCUUGUCAGAGGAAGCCUAUUGGAGGGCUCUGAGGUGAGAAGAAUGAAGAAUCUCCCAGCUGACUGUUGUCCAACAAUAGAAAUAUUCACACAAACUUCAUCACACAAGGGAACCACUGAAACUCUUCCACUUUGAAGAAUCAAGGCAUUCCCACACUUAGGAAUAUUCAGUUUCUAACCACAUUCUUUUCACCAAUUCAGAAUCAUCUUUCAAAUACACAGAGUUGUAUUGCCUGAAUUCUGAAGCAUGACACUUCAUCAAUAUGAAUCAAGACUGCUCACAACUUAUUGCUUUAUUGUUCACAGCAAAUGUGAAACAGCAGUUAUUUCUUUAUUUUUAUGCUUGUUUAACAACCAAGAAAAGGAGGGAAUUGGAUUAUUAAUAAAAAAGAAACAAAAUACAGAA